UAGGUGAACCUGCGGAGGGAUCAUUACACAAAUAUGAAGGCGGGCUGGAACCUCUCGGGGUUACAGCCUUGCUGAAUUAUUCACCCUUGUCUUUUGCGUACUUCUUGUUUCCUUGGUGGGUUCGCCCACCACUAGGACAAACAUAAACCUUUUGUAAUUGCAAUCAGCGUCAGUAACAAAUUAAUAAUUACAACUUUCAACAACGGAUCUCUUGGUUCUGGCAUCGAUGAAGAACGCAGCGAAAUGCGAUAAGUAGUGUGAAUUGCAGAAUUCAGUGAAUCAUCGAAUCUUUGAACGCACAUUGCGCCCUUUGGUAUUCCAAAGGGCAUGCCUGUUCGAGCGUCAUUUGUACCCUCAAGCUUUGCUUGGUGUUGGGCGUCUUGUCUCUAGCUUUGCUGGAGACUCGCCUUAAAGUAAUUGGCAGCCGGCCUACUGGUUUCGGAGCGCAGCACAAGUCGCACUCUCUAUCAGCAAAGGUCUAGCAUCCAUUAAGCCUUUUUUUCAACUUUUGACCUCGGAUCAGGUAGGGAUACCCGCUGAACUUAAGCAUAUCAAUAAG
rnacentral:rRNA from 1 species